rnacentral:misc_RNA from 1 species
UUAACUGUACUAGUGUUCAGUUGUUGACUGGUAGGCAAUUUAUGCACAGUUAAUGUUCAUUGAAAAUGGGUUGCAUAUGUUAAAUAUGUCACGCUUGCGUGUUAAGGAUAAUUACGGUCAAGAAGCAGAGAGUAAGCCAGAUAAAGAGAUGUUGUUUAGACCAUUAAGAAGAUUGGGUGUUGUCUUUAAACAUGUGAGAAUGGCAUCACCAUAUACCACAUCAUCAAGCAUGGAUGAUGAAGUGUUACUACAGAAAAUUGACACAAAAGGAAUUAUAACCCUGAAUAGACCAAAAGCUCUCAAUGCCCUUAAUCUCAACAUGAUCAGAAAAAUUAUGCCACAAAUGACAGCAUGGGAAAAUGAUCCACAUAUGACUAUGGUGAUUAUGAAGGGUACCGGAGAGAAAGCAUUUUGUGCUGGUGGAGACAUUGUAGCUGUCACAGAAUCAGGGAAACUUGGAGGUCAGCUGGCAAAAGACUUCUUCAAAGAGGAAUAUAUUCUCAAUAAUAAAAUAGGUACAUAUGAAAUUCCAUAUAUCGCAUUUAUUGAUGGCAUUACCAUGGGUGGAGGUGUUGGUCUGUCAGUUCAUGGUACAUACAGAGUGGCUACAGAGAGAACAGUAUUUGCUAUGCCAGAAACUGCCAUUGGGUUGUUCCCAGAUGUUGGCGGAGGCUAUUUCAUGUCAAGAUUAGGGGGUAGGUUAGGAGUUUACCUCGCUCUCACAGGAUUCAGGUUGAAAGGACGAGAUGUUCAUAAAGCUGGAAUUGCUACACACUUCGUACAGGCAGAUAAGAUGCAUGCUUUGGAAGAAUCCUUGCUCAAACUACAUGACCCAGAACCUUUAGAUGUUGCUCAUGUACUGGACAAAUUUCAACAUGAGAGUACAGAUAUAGCAGAUAAUGAUUUUGUGUUAAGAGAUCAUAUGGAAGAGAUAAAUAGACUAUUUGAAGGAGAGACAGUGGAGGAAAUUAUGCAAAAUUUGGAAAAAGACAAUUCGCCAUGGGCAACAACACAGCUUAAUACACUAAAGAAAAUGUCUCCAGUUUCUAUGAAGAUAACAUUAAGAUUGUUGAAUGAAGGAAGCUCGCGAACACUACAAGAAGAUCUGGAGACAGAAUAUAGACUAAGUCAGAGAUGUAUAGAAGAUAAAGACUUCUACGAAGGGGUUAGGGCAGUAUUAAAAGAUAAAGAUCAGAAUCCUAAAUGGAAUCCAGCCACUCUUGAAGGUGUUACCAAGGAGCAUGUAGACUGGUACUUCUCUCCACUUCCUCCAGAUAGAGAACUUGAACUUUGAAAUGGUGACACAGUCCAGCAUUAAAUGACGUCUGCAUUAAAUUGUAAUGAAAAUAUGUUGAAAUAUAAAAAUAUUUACUAGUCAAGAGCUGAUAGUUUAUCAAACUUUACAAUUUAACAGCUUAAUUCAUUUGUCUCAGGUCAUUCCUGUGUCAACAACGGGUAAACAAAUCUUCUUAUGCAACACUCGAUAUUUUUCUAAUGUUUUUAAAAAUUAUUGAAACUACAUUUCAGAAAUUUACACACCUUUGGAAUGAUUAUGAAUAAUGAAUACUAUGCCAUAUUUUUUAUCAAAAUCUAAUAAUGCCAUAAUAUGGUAGCCUUCUCCUAUUUUAAACAGGCUCAACAUUCACAUGUAUGGAUCAAAUGCUUAAAGAAACGAAUGUGAGUGUUUAGAAAGAAAAUCAAAAUUAAACAAAAGUACUUAAAUUCCCAGCAAUAUCAAAGAUGAAAGUAUGUCUGAUAUUUGAUCGUAUGAUUAUGAAAAGUCAAUUUCUCUAUGUUUCUUUGCUUAAAAGGAAAUGAGUGUGUUUAAUGAAAUUGACCUUUAGCCUUCUUGCAGCACUGUUCGCUAUUCAGUCAGUAAAUUUUCAGUUGACACCCCUUUGAAUAUAAGUGGUACUGCCCAAAUUAAGUUAUGAACCAGUCCAUUUUAGAAAUUUAGCAGGGUAAAGGUUACUGUAGUAAAAUACAGGUAAAAUUUCAAGUGUUGCAUUAGGGGACUUAUUACAGACAGUAUUGCAGUGAUGCAAACAUAUUUUUGGAGAUAAGUGCUUUUAUUUUAUUUUGUAUUGUAUAUAUAAAAAUAUUUGGUACCAAAGACAAAUUGAGCACAUUUGUAUUAAUAUAUGUUUAAUCAUGAAAAUGAAUAUAAAGUUCACAUAUUGUCACACCAGUAAUACUUGUAAAUCCAAAAGCUUUCUACAUUGUAUGUAUUUAUGGUAAAUCAGUGUAUACAGCUAAGAAAUGAAUCACAGUCUGUAGUUUUGUGUUCGAGCAUGAAACAUUAGACUGGCUCAUAUUUCUCUUCAUUAACAGGGGAAGUCACUCCAGCUGGUUGUUUCUGUAUUGACAUUAUUAUUGCCUCUGACUCCAAAGGUAGCCACCAGAUAAAAUGUGCUAUUUCAGAGGCUUAAAAUUUACUUUAGAAUGUUUGCAGUAUUUAAAAAAAAAUAACCUGGAGCCAGGCUAAUGAAACAAAUAAGGCAUAGUUUUUCAUUCAAGUAUGACGUUUCGAGUUUGUUGUGUCUUUAGAGCCCAACUCCAGACUAUACUCGUAUAUAUGAUAUAACCAUGGUGUUUCAAACCCAGAUGACCGUCACUUAAACUGCAAUUUAUAUCUUUCAUUUACAAUUCUGUUUUCUGCGUUAUUAACAUUGUUUUGACAGACAUAGUUAUACUUUAUUUUAUAUUAAAGCUCCCUAAAACAAAAAAACUGGCAACAAAUGGUAGACAUUGGAACAGCCUUUGUUCCAACAUUGUGUAAAAAUAUAUGCUUUUAAAGAUGGUAUUUGGUAAUAUGCACAUAUGACAUAUGACAUUGUGAUGUAUGUAAAAAGUGCAGCCAGUUGAGUGGGAAUGAUGCGCAUUGGGUAUAAGUGUUCUACGUAGUAAUUGAAAUAGUAAAUUUGAGAUAUGAAUUGUGUAUCAUCGAUGUAAAUUUACAUGUAUGAAAGAUAUGUUUUUCUUUCUACUAGCGUCCGCUGACGUGCAGUAACAUCAAUUAGUAUUUCCAUACAUAUAUAUUUGUCCAGUGUACAAAUUGUUAUUAAAUGUUUUGACAAAGAAAGAUAAGUUUGUGUAGCAAAAGCUUUUGUGCUUAGUUGUAUAUUGAGUUAUAACGCAUGUCAAAUAAAGGAGGAGUUCUAACAGUUUUCUGUUCAGCCCUUGAUAUACGUGCAAACAGAUUUUCAUUUGAAAGGUCAAGGUGAUAUUGACAUCAAGAUUGAAACUAAAGGGAAAGCUCCUGAACAUACGACUGUUAAACUUCUUAAGAUGAUUGCCUGUGCGAGUAGAUAACCCCAUUUGUUUUGUUGGUCAAUGGUCAAGGUCACAUUGGCAUUGUAAUUGGAAAGGGGUUCAACGGCCUUCAUUUGUCAAACUGUAUCAGAUGAACUUACUGUAAGUUCUAAAAUAUAUACUAUGGUUAGUCAUUGUAUACUUUAGAAUAAAAGUUACAUAAGUUUUGUCAUCAUGAGUGAGUCAUUUUUUUUUAAUGCUUUCAUGUAUAUAUUAUUUGCACCAUGAAUCAGUGAUAAUGAAUUACGAGUAAAGAUUAAAAGUCUUCAUAUGUAUUAAAAAGUUUUCAGUUUUGGUUUGCACUUGUUUUGAUUUUUCUGGAUGAAAGGUCACAUUUUGUGAGUAUGUGGGGUAUUCGUGUUUUCAACCAGUAUGUGAUAGAAUGUCUUUAAUAUAAGUGAUCUGAUACAUUGUCAGCAAUUCAGUCAAUAUAUUUAUGUCACAAUAUUUUUUUGAAUUGUGGGAUGUUUGAAUAAACAGUUGCUACUUUUCA